CAACCCUCAGGCCCCCAGUGCCUGGCGUUGGGGAUCGGCGCGGCGCCCUCCGGGGCGCUGCCGGCCCCGAAAUUCAGUGGCGGUCUCGCUGUAGCCCUCCUCCGCGUAGUAGCACAACCUCGCGGCCUGGAGCUCGGCGGUGGCCAUGCCGUAAAACACCCCACUUCUGAA
rnacentral:misc_RNA from 2 species